rnacentral:rRNA from 1 species
UACGGAGGGUGCAAGCGUUAUCCGGAUUCACUGGGUUUAAAGGGUGUGUAGGCGGAUAUUUAAGUCAGUGGUGAAAUCUCCGGGCUCAACCCGGAAACUGCCAUUGAUACUAUUUAUCUUGAAUAUCGUUGAGGUUGGCGGAAUAUAUCAUGUAGCGGUGAAAUGCAUAGAUAUGAUAUAGAACACCGAUUGCGAAGGCAGCUAACUAAGCGAUUAUUGACGCUGAGGCACGAAAGCGUGGGGAUCAAACAGG